rnacentral:rRNA from 1 species
GUCUUUUUGUAUUUAAUAGAAAGUCUGGCCUGCCCACUGAUUAUUUGAAUGGCUGCAGUAAUUUGACUGUACAAAGGUAGCAUAAUCAUUAGUUUUUUAAUUGAAAGCUGGAAUGAAUGGUCGGAUGAAGAAGUAUCUGUCUUUUUUUUAUAAUUUGAAUUUUAUUUUUGAGUAAGAAAGCUUAAAUUUUUAUAAAAGACGAGAAGACCCUAUAGAGUUUUAUAUUAUUAUUUUAUAAAAUUUUAAGGAUUAAUAUUUUUUAUUAUUUAAUAUUUUUUUAUUGGGGUGAUGGUAUAAUUUAUUUAACUUAUAUUUUUUUUUAACAAUUAUUUUUGAUUUGUUGAUCCAGGAAUUCUUGAUUAUAAGAUAAAUUACCUUAGGGAUAACAGCGUAAUCUUUUUUGAGAGUUCUUAUCGAUAAUGAGGAUUGCGACCUCGAUGUUGGAUUAAAAUUUAUUUUCGGKGUAGUUGCUGAAAUAUUGAGUCUGUUCGACUUUUAAAAUUUUACA